AAUAAGGAAGUUUUUGACUUGUGUUAUCCGCAUUUUCAGAUAUGCUAAUGAAGGAAAAGAUGAAGUUGAAAGGAGAAUUUAUCUUUUUGUUUUUAUUCUUGAUUAAAAAAGGAUUUUGUGAUUGGAAUUUUGAAGGACGAAAUGUUGCAUUGGGAAAAACACCACAACAAGGUCCUGGUACAUUUGAUGGUUUGGUAGCACGUUUAGCUGUAGAUGGAAACACAAGUAACGCAGCUUCUUCCGGAGCAUGUGCACACACUACUGAGGGCAACGCUACACAUCAAGCAUGGUGGCGGUUAGACCUAGGCCAGUCUUACUGGAUCUCAGGAAUUAAAAUAUUCAACAGAGAAAGACAUUUUUCAGUGCGGGAACGACUUUUUGGUAUGCUUGUGAAAGGAUUUGGGGGAUAUCCAUAUGAUAAAGGAGCACUAGAGGUCACCUUGUUUGCCGAUGACCAUAUUGCAGAUGGAUUUACGUCCUGCAAUAACCCAUACACAGAACGAGGGAAGGACGUAUGUGCAGAUGUUAUCGAAAUUGAAAUCAACCCAGCCAAACGCUUGAGAAUAAUUGGAAUAGAAACGCAAAGUUAUUUGACGCUUUGCGAGGUUGAAGUUUUUGAAGGUAAGUUAAGUUGUCUGUUUCUGUUUUAUUAUUAAAUAUUCCAAAUUUAAUCAUAUACACACUAAAUGUAAAUUAAACAUAUGGUGUUUAUCACGUAAUACUUAUUAAAGAGGUGGUAGUGGUGCCAAUUUAGCACAACAGAUGCAUUUUUAGUGUAAAAAAACAGAUAUAAAAGAAAAAAAAAGAAAAAAAAAAAAAAAAAAAACCCAGAUAUAUUCACCCCUUAAAUCAACCCUUAUCUUUUAACAAUAAUAGGUUAUUAAGUUUGUUUCUCCCCCCCCCCCCCCAAAAAAAAAAAAAUAAAUAAAUAAAGAAAAACAAAAGAAAGAAAAAAGAAGCAUAUAUAAGCUCCGAAAAGGUAGACAAAAAGACUGCUCUAGAGGUCGUUGCUUAAUACAUGCCCUUUUUGCAUGUGGACAGUUAAUUUGUCAUUCGUGACUGAAAUUACAUGUACGAUUUUGUAUCGUUAACCUUUGUAGUUUAUAAAAGCCGUAAAAAGUUAAAGUAAUAUCUGUAAGCUUCAUAAAAUAAAUAAAAUAUUUCAACAACACAAUAUAGAAACUAAUGAGACGACUAAAAUUCGAUUUUUCAAAAAUGCAAAAUUUAUGGUUUUAAUAUUAAGACAUAUUGGGAUAUCUUUUGACAAUAAUAGGUUAUUAAGUUUGUUCCACAAAUUUUGUACAAGUCGACAUUCCCAAAAAAAGAUGUUCCUUUGGUUCUAUAUAUUCUGACCAGAAUCGGCAUAAGCUGGAGUUUGUGACCUUGCUUUGAUAUAGGUAUAUGUUUGUUGAUAGUAGUCUAUAAAUGUAUGUACUGGAAGGUUUUUAUUGUUGUAUCAAUGAUACAUAUUAAUGGCAAUGUUAAUGUUUUAUUCCACAUAAAAAGUAUUUGUUUCGAAAUAUGUUCCUAGAAUUGCAUUAUAUUUAUAUUUUUUUACCAUGCUUUGAUUUAAGGGUUUUUAUUUGCAUUGUUUACAUAAUUUUAUUCGGUUUUUGCUUACUAUUUUAAACCUUUUAAACAAGUAAGACUAUGUCAUGAUUUACAGAUGAUUCCUCUUUCAAUUUAUGUUUUAACUUACACGGAAUACUAGCUGGUAAUACUUUAGAAAAUCAGAAUUGCCUAUGGUAUAAAGAUGUUUUAUCUCGUCAAAUGUAAAGAACUCUUUUGAUCUGUAAUCAAAAGAUAUGUUGGACGAAUUUGAUACCUUUUUCAUACAAUUUAUAAAAGUAUGCACUUCGUUUAAUUACUUUUAUGUCGUUGUUAUUCCAUACUAUUGUUUUACUUGAACUAUUAUUUUCGAUAUAUUUGCUUAUAACAGACCAUGAUAAGAGUGCUUUUGCUAAAAAUCAAUAUUUAUGUGCAAUGAUGUUUAUUGUUUCUUCGUCGAGAUUACUUUCGACAACAAUCGUCCUCCAAAUUUAUGUAAAGCGUCACUAAAGAAGGUUUGGUAUUGAUGCCUAUUUGUUUCAUCCAGAAACCUCUAUACCCAACACCCUUUGCUCGAUUUAUCUAACCGUGAAGAUAUAUACAUGUUUUACCGUCUCUGUUAAAUAUAAUAAGAGUUUGAAAUUCUCAACAAUCUAUUUUAGAAGUUAGUAUUGAAAUUACUAUUAAUGAACUCUUCAAAAAAGCUAAUAUGAAUGUGUACAAAUGUUUGUUUUUUUCUGUUUUUAAUGAAAUGCAAUAUAAUUUUGCGUUAAAAAUGUAAGCUUACGAAAACACAGAAUUAAAAACAAUGAUAAAACAGUUUAUGCUUCUUGAAGGAUACGAAGCUGUCCGUGAAAUCCUCAAAUCCUGUACUUAACAAAAUAAGAUUAAGCAAUAAAAUUGAAAAGUUUCAAGUGCAGGCUAUCAUUGGGGUUGUGCUACAUUAAUGCCAAUUUAUUGGUAUACUUAUGAUCAGAGGUAGAGCAGCAAUUAGCCCAAGCCCGUAGUGGAUAUCCUAUUACCCAUCAUAACAAUCAAGAAAAACAUAGCCUUUUCAAUAUUUAUUUCAUUUUCAUUGUCUUUAUCUUAUGUUUGGGAAAUAAUGGGCAAGGCUCGGACGAAGUGUUGAUAACAUAUAAACGGUUCUGUCAUGGUAUAUCUAUGAUCAGACCAGACCAAUCUAUUUAAAUACCAUAAAUUGUCCAUAAUCAGUUAUUUGAGAGUUGUCAAUCGCCGAGCCAAAGAGUAUGCUGAGAAAGCGGUAUUCUACUUCCUCUGAAUACUCAGCUGCUAGGUAUGAUUGAUAUUUUAAUCGUCAGAGCAUUACCAGUGAAAAAACAAACAAAGCACCAUCAAAAUAAUGGAAUGGUAAAAUAGCAUGAGAAACACAAAAGGUUUGCAGCACAUCUGGUAUUGAAAUCAGUCAGAUGGACAUCGGCGUGAGGUAGAAAGCCGAAUGGUCAGCCAGGUGUGCAGAACGAUUUGGUUUGUAACUUCGAGUCAAUUUCCGGAUUUACUGAAUAUAUAUAUAGCAAGCAAGCAGAAUACAUGUAUCGAAACUAGUAUAAUUCAUUACGUAUAUGCCUGUAUGUAGACGAAGCUUGGGGUUUCGGGAGAAUUGGAAAAAUAAACCAGAAUUUAAUAGAACUGCAAAAGGCUGAGCUUUCUCUUACUAUGGUCGGAGCAAAAGGGGCCUGAAUAACAAUGUGCUUUGAAGAGGGCGCGCACUGCGGCCAAUCAGACCAGUAUAAUAAGUCACGUCAUGCGAUUGCUGGCGAUAUGGUUAUAGAGCACCAUUUAUUAAAUGCAUUACAAAGAUACCAAGAACAAAGCUAUUCUUAAAGGGAUAACUUGAAUUGUUUGAAAAAGUAAGUAAAAUAUGUUAUCAUUGACGUGUUACUUAAUUUUAGAACAGAUGACUAAUUAGCGCCUUUCUUUGUCCUUACAUUGAUAAGAUUAGUCCCAACGUAGUCAACAUUAAACAUCAACACAAUCUUAACAUGAAAAACAUAUUGGCAGUCAUUUAAAACCAUUAAACAGUUUGCAGGAAUGUUUUGUGUAAUGAAUAAUACAUAUUGCUACAAAUUCAUCCAACAUUUAAACAUUCCAAAGACAUCUUUCUUUAGCGUUUUGCAUUAUAUAAACAAACGGACAAAGAUUAUUUUACUUUAGUUUAGUCCCUACACAUUCAUCCUUAUGUGGUGUACACGUGCUUGGUCUUAAAAAAUGAACCUUUGUUUGCCGAACUCUGAAAAUGUUUUACAAAAUAUCACAUCCAACAACAGCUUUCUUUUCUUUUGCAUAUCAAGUUGCUGCUUGUCGCGUUCCUGAAGCACCAAUACACGGAUGGUACCAUGACCCUAAUAAUACUGUCUCUAGAGGUUUUGUUCCAAUUGGUUAUGUUAUAGUCCGCUCCUGUUAUACUGGGUAUUCGUUAUAAGUUCAAAUCGGACAUGUCAAGAAAAUGGACAAUUCAGUGGGGGGAAUUCCCUAUGCACGAUUGUAACUUGUUCAUCGUUUGGAAAACUUGCAAAUGGAACUUUGCUUUACAGCGGACAUGAUAUGAUCUAUUAUGCUGACCAAGGCAAUAGCAUUUACAAAUUUGGGGUGAAAGUAAGAGCUUCAUGUGUUUCUGGUUUUCAACUAGUGAAUGGAUCUAAAGAGCAAUCUUGUUUGGAAAAUGGAACUUGGGAUGGAGUCAAGCCAGUAUGUGGUAAAAUAAUAUGCAACGACACUAGCAUUCUAAGCUUUCGAUUUCAAAAAAGUGUUUCAUUGUUUUCCUUUUCGGAACGAGGAACUGCUUUGUACAACAGUAGUAAAUAUUAUCUCUUGAAUGGCAGCUUGUCAUUCAUUUGCCUUGCGAAUAGAAGCCUUUCCUGGGAAUUUCAGCCACCAGAACUUGCCUCCGUUUGUAAAGUGCAGCAUAAGGAUAAUUUAUUAGUUAACGCCAAAAACUGUUUACGGGAAGACACUUGCGAAAUCGGCACACGUGUUUCGUAUGAUUGUGUUGGGGACUACGAAGUGAGUGUUAGAAGUGCGUCAUGCAAAGCUGAUCAUACCUGGAGUGCCGAACCUUUUUGCAAAUACAACGCACAAUCUGCUAAAUCUUCUGUUGCCACGAUCGGCGCAUCCAUUGGAGGAAUUGCUGUUGUUAUUGCUGCAAUUGUAUUAAUACUUUUUAUUUGCCGACAUAGAAGCAAUGCAGCCAAAUCUUCAACACAUCCUCAUUAUGAAAUACCGGUUAAAAAGGAUGCCGACCAGUCGAAUUGUUAUAGCGAAAUCAACGUAUCAGAAAUAAUCAACGGUGACGACGCCGCGCUGUCCAGAUCCAACAGCUACCUUACGCCUGUGGUCACUGAUGGCAAUUAUUAUGAGACUGUGUCUCCUUAUGAGUGUGUCGAUUGAAAAACUUUAAAAAAGGGAUUGACACUCGAUGUAGAGCAAUCAAUCAAGGAAAAGGAAACAGAACGUUCAGGAAAAAACUAUCAAAUUAUACGUCCAUUUUCUUCGUUUUUUUUCUCUUUUUUUCAUUCUAUUGUCGGUGGAACGAUGGAUCCGCUGAAGGGUGAUAUACUUUUUAAUGAUGCGAGGAUAGAGAUAAAGGGACUCUAUCAAGACUAAAAAGGGGACUGUAUUUAAUAAAAAUGUGUUGAUUUACUGAGAAAGGAAAUAAAUUGGAUAAUUAAG